rnacentral:rRNA from 1 species
CCUACGGGUGGCAGCAGUGAGGAAUAUUGGUCAAUGGCCGAGAGGCUGAACCAGCCAAGUCGCGUGAGGGAAGACGGCCCUACGGGUUGUAAACCUCUUUUGUCGGGGAGCAAAGAGAGUCACGUGUGACUCAUUGAGAGUACCCGAAGAAAAAGCAUCGGCUAACUCCGUGCCAGCAGCCGCGGUAAUACGGAGGAUGCGAGCGUUAUCCGGAUUUAUUGGGUUUAAAGGGUGCGCAGGCGGAGGUGCAAGUCAGCGGUCAAAUUGCGGGGCUCAACCCCGUACUGCCGUUGAAACUGCAUCCCUUGAGUGCGCGAGAAGUAUGCGGAAUGCGCGGUGUAGCGGUGAAAUGCUUAGAUAUCGCGCAGAACCCCGAUUGCGAAGGCAGCGUACCGGCUCCACACUGACGCUGAGGCACGAAAGCGUGGGUAUCGAACAGGAUUAGAUACCCGUGUAGUC